GGGCGAAGAUAAGACGGAUUAGCGGCGGACGGGUGAGUAACACGUGAGUAACCUGCCUUUUACACAGGGAUAGCCUCGGGAAACCGGGAUUAAAACCUGAUGAAACUAUCAAAUCACAUGAUUAAGAAAGUUAAAAACUCCGGUGGUAAAAGAUGGACUCGCGUCCCAUUAGCUAGUUGGUGAAGGUAACGGCCCACCAAGGCAACGAUGGGUAGCCGGCCUGAGAGGGUGAACGGCCACAUGGAACUGAGAAACGGUCCAAACUCCUACGGGAGGCAGCAGCU
rnacentral:rRNA from 1 species